ACGGAAGUCGUUGUAAUGAAAUAGAAACGGACAGAGAACUUGUUCGAAGAAAGUGGAAGUAGACUUACAACAAUGGCUUUAGUGGCGGACUGAUGAGUAACGCGUAAGGAACCUGCCUUCUAGAGGGGAAUAACAAUGAGAAAUCAUUGCUAAUACCGCAUAUGCCGAGAGAAUCACAUGGUACAAUCGGGAAAAGAGUAAUCUGCUAGAAGAUGGCCUUGCGUCUGAUUAGAUAGUUGGUGGGGUAACGGCCUACCAAGUCGACGAUCAGUAGCCGGACUGAGAGGUUGAACGGCCACAUUGGGACUGAGAUACGGCCCAGACUCCUACGGGAGGCAGCAGUCGGGAAUAUUGCGCAAUGGAGGAAACUCUGACGCAGUGACGCCGCGUAUAGGAAGAAGGUUUUCGGAUUGUAAACUAUUGUCGUUAGGGAAGAGAAAGGACAGUACCUAAGGAGGAAGCUCCGGCUAACUGCGUGCCAGCAGCCGCGGUAAUACGUAGGGAGCGAGCGUUAUCCGGAAUUAUUGGGUGUAAAGGGUGCGUAGACGGGAAGAUAAGUUAGUUGUGAAAUCCCUCGGCUUAACUGAGGAACUGCAACUAAAACUGUUUUUCUUGAGUGCAGGAGAGGUAAGUGGAAUUCCUAGUGUAGCGGUGAAAUGCGUAGAUAUUAGGAGGAA
rnacentral:rRNA from 1 species